UUUUGCACCUUCAUCAGCACCCAUUUAACCCACUCUUCUCUCCGAACAUAUUGCUUAUAUAGCCACCACAUACAGCGGUGUUAACCCCUUAGAAUAUGGCAU